CAGCCGUAAACAAUGUGCGUUAGGUGUGUCGGUAACCACGCGUUACUGAUGCGCCGAAGAGAAAUCGUGAAACGCGCCACCUGGGAAGUACGGUCGCAAGGCUGAAACUUAAAGGAAUUGGCGGGGGGAGCACCACAACAGGUGGAGCCUGCGGUUUAAUUGGAUUCAACGCCGGACAUCUCACCGGAUAAGACAGCUGAAUGAUUGUCAAUCUGAAGGUUUUACAUGACUAGCUGAGAGGUGGUGCAUGGCGUCAGUGACU
rnacentral:rRNA from 1 species